GACAUUCUUCGCUAUUGCCGUGGAUUGAAUCUUGUGUGGACUGGUAAAUACAAACUGGGUCCGGUAGAGCCUGAACACUUGGAGCUUAUCUUAGGCUACCCUUCGAAUCACGUUGGUUCUGUCGAGAGUGAUUUGGCCGAAAGACUUAAAUCACUAAAAUACUGCUUCCAGACAGACACAUUGGGAUAUCAUCUUUCUGUUUUGAAACCUGUUUUUCCUAGUGGACUGACUAUGUUGUCACUUUUCAGUGGAAUUGGUGGAGCAGAAAUUGCCUUGCACCGCCUUGGUAUAAAAAUAAAAGCUCUCGUCUCAGUUGAGACUUCUGAGAAAAAGAGGAGGAUUCUCGAGAGGUGGUGGCGUAGUUCGGGACAAACGGGGACUUUGGUUCAGAUUGAAGAGAUUCAGAAGUUGACUAGUAAAAAACUUCAGAGCCUAAUUAGUAAAUUGGGUGGCUUUGACCUGGUAAUUUAUCAGAGCCCAAGUCCUAGGGGUGGUGAAAGUAUCGCAUCUGUAGAUUUUUCAGUGUUUCAUGAAUGUGUUCGUGUUUUGCACCGUGUAAGAGGUUUGUGUGAAAGAAUGUGACUCGGAUCUUGUUGUAAAUUAUGUCAGAUUAUAUGCUUUGGUUGCAUGCCCUGUUCUUGACAAAGGCAGCUGCUACAAAUUGUGACAUCAUGUAAAAUUUUCAAUGCAGGAAAUUUUAGCAGUAUUGUUCGGAUCUAUAAUAUGUUAGUUAAUGCAUUAGUAGAGAUAUUAUAGAUUAUUAUUGCUCUAUCCUGUUUUCAUGGUGGAUCACUGUCUGAAUAAAGCCAUGGUGAAAAACCACAGUAUUGCCAAAAUCAAUGGUAGAAACAAUAAAAGCUAAGGUAGACAGUAGACACCAAUGUUCAUUGAAUCAGACACCGGUUUAAGUGUAUGACAAUGACGAGCCAUUUCAUGUGGUCAUUUAGUAUAUGCAUAUUGUAGAAUAACCCAAAUUUUUAAUUUUCUUACCUUUGUAUUUAACUAUGAGAUCAACCCGUCAAAAAAAAAACUAUGAUAUCAACCCGUGCAAUGCUUUAUGAUUUUAAAAAUUUGCACUAUUUUUUUUUACGGAAAUACGAUUUUCAUUGAAAAUGAAAGGUCAAAAUAUUCGACCGAAUACAAACAUUGAAAACUUGAGGGAAACCCAAACCUCAUCUCUAAUAGAUUCGGAGUACUUAGUUAUGGUGUGAGCCACCUUAUUUGCUUCCCUAUAAACAUGACUAAAAGAAAUAGAAGAAAAACUAGGAAUUAAACUCCUAAUCUUAGCAACAAGAGGUGCCAAGUAAGAAUUAUGAUGAGCCUGGCCAGUAAUUGCACGAAUCACCUUCUCUGAAUUGGAUUCAACCUUCAACUUCAGAUAGCCAUAUGCGACACGCGACAGCUAACUUGAGUCCCUGCUGAAUAGCAAUGGCCUUCGCAAAGUCAACCCCCAGAUCAAACAAACAAGAUAGCGAUGCAGCCAAUCGAGCCUCCCAAUGACUAUCCAUGAAAAUCAUCCCAUUCCGCUACACAUCCCCCACCUUCGCUGCAUCCACAUUCAACUUGACAUGCUCGCAUCAGGCGGCUUCCAUCAACUAUCACGAGACACACCCACCACCGGCUCCUGUGGACGAAGAGAAGCUCUGGCAGCUUGAUAAUCACGAAGCUCCUCCAUCGAUUUAGCUGCAGUACCGCGUUCAUCCACAACUCUUCGGCUUCAAAACAGGCUAGAUUAUGAGGACAUGUAGGUAUACAUAUAAAUAUUUACCUUCUUCAACGCAUGUUGAAGUAAGUUAUGCGGAAGGAAGUGCACAUGCUUCACCUACCUCAAAAGCGGGUGUUUCAUCGUCUCAUGGGAUUGAGUUGCCUGAGUUGUCUAAGACAACUCAAAUAAGUGAAAUAACUCACUCUCAUUUGAUUAGGCACGUUAUCCUUUAUGUUUCGACAAUUUUGAAUAUGAACAAGAACUUUCUAGUUUUUCUUAUAGACAUUCAUAUCAAAAAAAAAGUUAUGACUAGAGUCAUUUCAUGUGGUCAUUUAGCAUGUGCAUAUUGUAGAAUGACAUAAAUUUUUUAUUUUCUUAACUUUGUAUUUAACGUUAAAAUAUAAUAUAAAAUCAUUCAUUUAGCUCUUACCCGAAGGUAAAUGUCACAUGAAUGAUUUUAUAUUACUUCUCUAACAAUAUUAACAUGUGCGAUGCUUGACCGCUUUUAUGAUUAUAAAAAUUUGAACUACUUUUAAUAAACCACAUGUAGGUAUAAAUAUUAAAAAAAAAUAUGUCUUUGUUAAAGUUCGAAAAUGCUAUGUAGUCAUUUCUUUUAUCAAGACUAACCAGUUUUCUCUUAGUCUCAGGUUCUUGAACUUACUAGUUGGUUAUUUUUCAGGUGCAGAGGCUCCAAUUUCAGAGCUCGCAAACUUUAUUUUUGCAGAACAAAAUGUGAUUGAUUAUGUAAUGGAAUACAAGGUGAGAUUUUAUUAUUUGUUUUUCACUUUGUGUUUAGUCCUUUAUAUUGAAAUGCUGGAAUUUAACUAUGAUAAUCAUUGCAUGGAUAUGUUUCAAAUAUCCAAUGUUCAUGAAAAAUGUCGUCAGGUGCUAACUAGUAUGCAGAACUGUACCAAAAGAAAAACUUAGGGGUAGAAAUAAUUUUACAAUAUCAAAAUUUCACAUAAAUGAGUGAACUUUGCUUUUAUAUGUAUAUUAUGUUCUUAUUUAAAUGUUGUAUGAAUGUCUGAAAUCAACAGUAGUGCUAAGAAACCUAUUAAAUGAAGUUAAGGACAUAUUUGGCAUAUGGUAGACUAAAAUGGUACUGUCCCCAGUUAUUAUUUAGUAAUAAUAAUCAUUGAGGUAUUAUUGAAUGAUGAAUUUUCUUGCUUGUCUAGUAUCCCUGGAUCAAAGAGGAACAACAUAGCGAUAUGUAUGAUACAGCGGAAGUGAAACCUGAGGAUUUUAGCGAUGAACCUUCACAAUCAAGGCAGGUCAACUUGGAGGAAACUUACAAUGGUAAAAGGGUGAAGGAAGAGGGUAUUGAUGAAAUUCCCAAUGCUGUUUCUGACAUGGGAUAUUUUGAUCUUGCGGAGAAUGAUAGAGGUAAAAGACCCAAGUAUGAAUAUGAUGAUGAUUCAAGCGAUUCUUUUGAUCCUUAUUGGGUGGAAGAAAAGGUCGAUUCUGUUGUUGCUAGAAUGUCGCAACUUAACAAAUCAAAUCCAUCGAGGUCUCUGAAUAGUAUGGCAGCGAAGCGUCCAUUUUUUCUAUACGGAAACGUGGCUAACAUAUCUUACGACUCAUGGGUAAAAUUGUCUCAGUUCUUAUAUGGUGUUGAACCUGAGUUUGUGAACAAUCAGUUAUUUUCAGCCUUGAAUAGAAUUGAAGGCUAUAUACACAAUCUUCCAGUUGAAAACAGGUUCCACAUCCUUCCGAAGCCACCUAUGACCAUUGAGGAUGUUCUUCCGCGGACAAAGAAAUGGUGGCCACCUUGGGAUUCAAGAAAGCAGUUGAGCUGCAUCAAUUGUGAAACUAGAGGUGUAGCUCAACUUUGUGACAGGCUAGGAAAGUUUCUAGCUGAUUCUGGCGGAGUACCCUCGUCUGAACAGCAGAGAGACAUUCUUCGCUAUUGCCGUGGAUUGAAUCUUGUGUGGACUGGUAAAUACAAACUGGGUCCGGUAGAGCCUGAACACUUGGAGCUUAUCUUAGGCUACCCUUCGAAUCACGUUGGUUCUGUCGAGAGUGAUUUGGCCGAAAGACUUAAAUCACUAAAAUACUGCUUCCAGACAGACACAUUGGGAUAUCAUCUUUCUGUUUUGAAACCUGUUUUUCCUAGUGGACUGACUAUGUUGUCACUUUUCAGUGGAAUUGGUGGAGCAGAAAUUGCCUUGCACCGCCUUGGUAUUAAAAUAAAAGCUCUCGUCUCAGUUGAGACUUCUGAGAAAAAGAGGAGGAUUCUCGAGAGGUGGUGG
rnacentral:lncRNA from 1 species